ACCUGGCUGGCUCAGUCAGUUAAAGCAUGUGAUUCCUGAUCUCAGGGUUGUGAGUUCAAGCCCCACAUUGGGUG
rnacentral:tRNA from 1 species